AUUGAACGCUGGCGGCAUGCCUUACACAUGCAAGUCGAACGUGAAAGGGGGGCAACCCCCGAGUAGAGUGGCGGACGGGUGAGUAACGCGUGGGAACCUUCCCAGUGGUACGGAAUAGCCCAGGGAAACUUGGGGUAAUACCGUAUAAGCCCCAUGGGGGAAAGAUUUAUCGCCAUUGGAUGGGCCCGCGUCGGAUUAGCUAGUUGGUGAGGUAAUGGCUCACCAAGGCGACGAUCCGUAGCUGGUCUGAGAGGAUGAUCAGCCACACUGGGACUGAGACACGGCCCAGACUCCUACGGGAGGCUG
rnacentral:rRNA from 1 species